CAACUAAUUGUGAUGACUUCCAAAUCCUGUGCCUCAUCUCCAGUCCUCUGUUUGUACUUUUCUGGGAAAACAACUGGAAUGAAGGAUAUCUCUGGAAUAAGCUAGAAACUUAGUGCAAUGGAAACUCCCAGAAUCUAUGAGGAUGACUUCUAGCUAAGACUCCUAGCAAUGGGUGAUAAGGAGCCUGAACCAGCCAUCUUGUGAACCAGAGACCAGAACAAUGCACAUAUCCCAAGUAUGCUACUACAAGGGCACAGGAAUUGUGACCUUACGAGAGAAAAAUGCAUGAUGCCAUGAACACGGUGGUUGACACACAGUUAUGGUUUGGGCUGCCUUUGUUUCACUUGUUCCUGACCUCGUGUAUUCUUGUACAUCAGUGGAAAUGACUGUGGUUUCAACUGUGAAGUUCAAUGGCUGGAGAGAUGGCUCACCACUUGCUGCCCUUGAAGAUGACCUGGACUCCAUUCCCGGCACCCACACGGCACCUCACAGCCACAUGGGACUCCAUUCUCAGAGGAUCCAACACUGUCUUCUGGUGGCAAUUCAUUGUGAUAAAAAUCCCUCUUGAAUCCUAAGAGACUGGAACUUUUGUUGGACUCUCAACCCGAGUUAAUAAUACAUCUUGAGGUUGCUAAGGACUGAGAACUACUAUCCUGCUGGGUACUCAGUGCAUUUGUUUAACCUGCCAUUAAGAGAACAAUGUAACAAUCAAUCUUACCUGCUGUGGAUUUCCUAUGUAAUCAACUUUUAUGACCCAAGCUAAUGUAUAACUACAAUCUUCAAGCAAGUACUGUU
rnacentral:lncRNA from 1 species